rnacentral:lncRNA from 1 species
CUCAGAUUUAGGUGCACGUUAAAGAACCCCAGGUGGCUGAAAUUUCCGGAGCCCUCCACUACGGCGCGCCUCAAAAUCAUAUGGUGAUUUUGGUACGUGAAGCCUCA